UGGGUGUCUGAAAAGUGACAGUGCACUCA
rnacentral:piRNA from 1 species